CUCGCCUGGACCCUGCAGGGCCACCCUCUGGGCCAGCCUCCCAUCCUUAACCCUUCCCAUUGCACCCAGCAACCCUCUGAGAUCAAUCCCCAGUCACAUCUGCUCACCUGCCCUGCUCAGGGGCCAUGACAACCUGGCACCCAGAGACCACCAGCCUGUCCCACCAGCACUCUUCCUCCUGACUCGCCUCGGGUCAGCCUGGUGUCCACAGCUGCAGCCUUGGGAUCAAGCGUUGGUGGGGACACGAGACAGAGAAGGGAACGAAGCCUGGGAAGACGCAUCCUGGCACAGUUUUACCAGGGAUGGCUUCAGAGCUACUCCGCCUGCCUACGAACAGCGGUGGGCUGCUGUGUCCCCAGCAGGUGUGGCCUGCGAGCAGCUUGGCAGCCAGAGAUGGCCUCAGGGAAAGAAAGCCAGAUGCCCCCUGACACCAAUUCUCAAGGCAGGCGCAAGUCAACUUCAGCUCAGCCUGGUGGGCUGCGGCUGAGCGACGGUCCUGAAUGGCGGCUCAGCGAUCAAUAUCAUUGUGUGACUGCGAGAGGAAGAAAGAGUUCAUCCUGACAUGCUCAUUCUGCCGACCGCCACCGAGCACCUCCUGGGGACCUCGCCCCAGCUGGCUAGUGGCCUCUAAACCAAGCUGCGUCAGUCAGGGAGACACCUAAGCUAUUGUAACAAAGCACCCCCAAAUACAGUGGCUAAAACAAGACAGAACAUUUGUCUCCCUCCUGCAACAGUCCAGCCAGCGCAGGCCUCGAGGGCAGCUCUGCUCCUUGGGAACACUCAGGGGCCCAGGCUCUUUGGCCUGUGGCUCUGCCCUCACCCGGGGGUGGGUGUCCUCAUCUGCAAGACUGAGGUGCAGCGGCACGUACUGCAUCCCAGCCCAGGAGGGGCAAAGGCAGUCAUGGGCUGACAGCUUCCUAUGGAGAACACAAGGAGACACUGCCCACACCACUUCUCAAAUUCCAGGGCUGAGGAUUUUGUCUUGUGGUCCCCCUUGGCUGCAAGAGAGGCUGGGACGUGCCAUCCACUCCUGGCUGGCCAUGUGCCCAGCAUCUGGAGGGACAACCUUCCUUUGGCGGCAAGAAUGAAGCCUACCCAAUGCGUCUCAAUGUGGGCUCCCCUGCAGCCGAGAGUGUGCACUUCCUGGAGCUGCUGUAACUAAUUACCACCAGCCUGGGUUAAAGUCACAUCCCUGGGCCAAAACCAAGGAGCCAGCAGGGCCACGCUUGCCCCAGAGGCUAUGGUGGAGCCUUCCUCACCUCCGCCGGAAGCUGGUGGCUGCCUCCCUCCAACCUUUGCCUCCGGGGCCUCACAGCCUCCUUUCUGUCUGUAGUCAAACCUGCCUCUGCCUCCCUCUUGUAAGACCUCACAUGAUUGCAUUGGGGGACCACCUGGAUAAUAAUGUCCCUAAAGAUUCUUAAUUUCAUCACAGCUACAAUGUCCUUUUUCCCCAUAAAAAGUAGGUUCCGGGCAUGAGAACAUUGAUACUUUGGGGGCAUUUCUUCUGCCUACGAGGCAGAUCCCAAGGCAGUAACUCAGGGCAGGCGUGUUCUUGGGACGUGAUCCCAGGAAACACCAUGGGAUGGGGGAGGAAGAGAGACUUGGAAGGUGGGAAGCCGGAGUGGCGUUGUCAAGCACCCAGCAUCCUGGAAGCCACCGGGGCGUGAUCCCACUGGGUCACCCCAUCAGAGGGAUAGGGCUGAGCUGUCUGUCCCCGCCCCCAAAUCACAGGUCAAGGCUGCUCCCAGGAAAGCUGGAUUCCCUGGUAGCUUCAGCAGUGGCCAGAGAUCCCCCCAGAGAGAGAAACACAGGUGAUGGCAGGUGAAGAAUAGGAAUGACGAGAGCCCAAGUGCGGGGUGAGGGGGCAAGAGUAUCUGCGCUCAGCCCACCCUCCGGAGCCUGUUGACUGUAAACUGGGAGGGCGACAGAAAGAAACCCAGACGGAAAUGCCGUUAGGAAAGGGAAAUUUGCAGGGAGCUCUGACAGUAUCGAGGUGGGCGGGGGACACUCUGUGUCCAUUCUGUGACCUGAGAUGGCCUCUCAGGGAAUGACGCUGAAGCAGGGGCUAGGCAGGCCUUAGGAGCAGUGUGUGCAAAGGCCCUGUGGCAGGAAAAGCCCCAGCCCCUAAGGACCAUGAAACAUCAGCCCAGGAGGCCUGUGGCUGGUGAGCAGUGAGCCGAGAGGAGGCCGAGGGCACCGGCGAGACAGGGGAAAUGUGGGGGACGUGUAGGAGCCAGCCCCUUUCUCCUGCCUGGGGCCAUGGCCUGACAUUCCUUCCUCUGCCAUCAGCAUUACCCCCUCCCCCCAGCAGCUCCCCCACUACACACUGGCCUUUGCUUUCUCCUUCAGCAGAUCAGGAAAGCCCCGCCUUCCUGAGGGACAGAGAAGGGUGUCCGGCAG
ensembl:lncRNA